rnacentral:lncRNA from 10 species
UUGGAAGGGCGGUCAUUUCUGCCGCGGAGCCCGCGGUCCCCUACUCGAUAUACCCCUGUGGGAUUUUCCAGUGGCCGAGGCACUGGGCCAUGGAAUGUACCACCAGGCUUCUCCCCUCCGCCGCAGCCUCUAGGAGUUAGUCACCUCCGAGGCCCCGGCGGGCGAGGCGCUUUGCCUCUUCCGCCCUCAGGGUGCCCUCGGCCUCAGGCCGUCCCUACCGGGGAGCCUCCGCCUCUUUAAAUAUCGCCCAGCCCCCACCCCCAGGAGCAGGUCGCGAGACGCACCCGCCCCCGCCCCUGCCGCCGCACUGCUCUGUGGGACGCGGCGACCCCUCUCCCGCGGCGGCCGGGACCCCGCGCCCACCGCGUCUGGAGCCCACCUGGCGGCCCCACUGGCUACAUUUCCGACCUGGACCCCGGCCGGCUGCGGGAAACACUCGGCGUCUCGGCUGUCACCGAACCUGUGCAGUUGCCGCGGGGGGAGUCGUGCGUGUCAGAUUUAGGCCAGGAAGCGGAAGUCGCCAGCAGCGAGAGUUUAACCUCUGUGGGCGCAGAGGGUUGCGGGGAUUCAGCGCCCGGGACCGUGGAUCUGUGCAGGGAGUCAUAGGUGUGUGUGACAUCAGUGGUGGAACAUUUUGGCUCGUUUUCACAAUUCAGUCAUUAUCCUUUCUGCUUUCCUCCUGGAAGCAUUAAGGUUGAAGUUUUCUUCUAAAGAUCAAAGUUUUGAUUUGUUAUAUUAGUUCGGAUUUGUUUGAUUUUUGUUUGUGUUCGGUUUCAAGUGCUGAUUUGUAACUUUUCUCCCCCCCCCACACACGCCUUUUGACCCCUGAAUUAUUUAAAAGUCCAUUGUUGGAGUGGCAAACAUCCUCCGAGACUCAAAGGGCAAGGCCAUGGGCGCUUUAUUCCGGCUGCUGCUCCAGGAACGUGGGAAAGCAGCGGAGUUUUAUUCUAGGGGAAGGAAACAAAGGCGGCCGAGUGCCAGCUGCACGUUUGGUGGGAUUUGGUCAUCAGGGGUGGACAUGCUGCCCAAUGGAGCUGUCGGCAGUUUGACCCAGCUUGGUCCGUCGCGUCCUGUUCUAGGAAUCGAUUAUUCAAAGAAGGAAUUUAGAGGGACUGCAGAAAAUGUUACAGGUCUUAACACCAUUUUGCAUUUCCGCAAACGAACAAGAAGUUAAUCCCUGUGUUAGUGAUUUCUAAGCCCAUUUGCCUUGUGGCCCAAGAACGUUGAGUUUGAAAUUUGAUGAAACUUGCCUUAAGGCUCAAGUACGAGGCCAGCUUUCAAAAAUGGUUUUGUGCCUUGAUUGAAAACACUGUAUCUUCUAGUUGUUGGAUUUAUCGUACUCUGCGGCUCUAUUGGUUCAAGCUUGUGCGUUGGGCCUUUUAAAAUGUGUGUUUCCUGAUAAUUCCCUUCAGCUUGUCAACUGGGGGUGAUGUGGCAGGGAGAAAGAGAGAGAGGAGAGAGAGAGACUGUACUGGCAGGUUUUCCUUGUGCUAUUCAAUUUUUGCUUCCUAUGUUUUGAAGUUUUAUUAUUAACUGCAGGUUUCAUUACUGAAUAGAUAUAGCCAAAUUCCUUCCCCCAAAAGAUUAUAAAGUUUCCUAGUCCUACCAGCAAAAUCAUUAAGUUCAUUAAGGCAAAUCCCCUCCAGCGCUGGAUGUUGAUGCUGUCUUUAAUUUUGUAUUUUUCUGACUACUUUGUGCAAUUGAGGAUUGUUUUGGUCUAUUGGCCAUUUGGCUUUUCUCUUUUGCAAAUGUUCAUAUCCUUUGUCCAGUUUUCUUUAGGGUGAUUUUUCCUUUUCGUAUCAAUUUGUAAACAGUGUACAAAUUACAUUGUACAUUAGGGAUAUUAACAGUCUGUCAGUUACACUGUACAUUAGGGAUAUUACAUUAGAGAUAUUAACAUCUUUGUCCAUUAAGGAUAUUAACCAUCUGUCAGUUACAUUGCAGUAUUUUUCCCUAAACUCUUUUUGUCUUUUGCAUUUUAUGUUUUUUUAAAUGUGCAAUUAGAAAAAUUUUAUAUGGGCUGGGCACAGUAAUCCCAGCACCCAUCUCUACUAAAAAUAAAAAAAAAAAUAGCCAGGCGUGGUAUCUCAACUAAAAAAAAAAAAAAAAAUUGCCGGGCAUGGUGUUGGGCGCUUGUAAUCCCAGCUACUCGGGAGGUUGAGGCAGGAGAAUCGCUUGAACUUGGGAAGUGGAGAUUGCAGUGAGCUGAGCUCGGGCCACUGCACUCCAGCCUGGGUGAUAGAGCAAGACUUCAUCUCAAAAAAAAAAAAGAAAGAAAAAUUGUAUGUGUAAUAUGUAACUAGUGAAAUGUAGCCUCUGAUCAGAUAUGUCUAAACUUUCUUUUAUGGCUUUUGUAUAUCCCAUCUUGCCUAGUUUCACUUCCCUAUUCCAGAUAGAAAGAUAAUCUUAACAUGUAUUUCAGUGUUUUUAUUGCUUUAAUUUUUUCUACUUUAAUCUAGUUGGAAUUUACUCUGGUAUAUGGUAUGAAAUCAAGAUCAAGCUUGAACAAGAA